rnacentral:tRNA from 1 species
AGCCCCGUGGUGUAGCUGGUCAAUCAUCCGAGACUCUGGAUCUCGUGACAGCGGUUCGAAUCCGCUCGGGGCUA